AUUGUUUUAGACUUUUAUUUGCUGCUAAUUCUAUUUUUCUUUUAAUUGAAAAAAGAGAAAAUGAUUUGUAGGAAUUUUUAAACGGUGGAAGUCCUAAUUUGGCUUAAAAAUGUUCAAUUAUGAGGUUUUUAGGAAGGAAAAUUUUAAUUUAUUGUUUCGUCUUAGUAUGUGACUAUAUUUUCUUAUUUUACUUUUUUUCUACAAUUUUUCUUUUUUCAGAUUUGAUCUAUAGUUUUUUAAACUUACAUGGCAUCGAUUUGGCCUUAUAUUGAUUACUUGAAAAAUGUUUCUGUUAGUAAAAUAUGUAUAGUUUCAUUUGUUAAAUUAUAGUGACUAUGCAAUAUUCCAUUUCCUUGUUUAGUGGGUAUAUGCUUAGGUACACAACUACGUGCACAUUUGUCUGAUUAUGUAUGUAUACAGGGCAUUGUUUUGUAGUACUUGUUGUAAUAAGAGUACUUUUUCUCAGUUUAUUUUAAUUAGAUCAUGUAAAAACCCAAACUAGCACCAUUUCCUUGAUUGUUUGAACAACUUCAUUUGAUUCGUUUUAGCAGCUUUCUCAAUGUGAGAUUAUGUGGAAACUGGAUGCCAGAAGAGAAAAUACUAAGUCAAUCUCUCCCUCCCUCCUUCUGCCCAUCUCUCCCCUUCUACCUGUCUCCCCAGUUCCUCCUCUUUCCUUUUCUUUCUCCUUGAGGCUUUUUUGGUUUCUCUUCCUUUUUCCCCUCAUUUCUAUGCAGCUUCAAAGUAGAUUCUUAAGUUCUAGUUGGGAAUAUUGACAUUAAUCCUCACUAAUGAAUACUUGGUAGAUUUGGAGCUCUUAACUCAUUACAAAUUGUUAUAUUCUGAUAUGUAAUACCUCAGUUGUUAGAUGGUAUUGGCAUCUGAUUAUAGAGACCUAAUUUCUUUUAGCUGUUUUUAAUUGUUUCUUGAAUCCUUUUAUGCUAAUUUACUUUAAUACAUUGUUCACAUAGCAUUAACACUUUAUGAGGAUUACUGUGUUUUUUUUCUUUGAUUGUUUUUUGAAGUGCAGAGUGAUCCAUACUUGUUUAAUGUAGCUGUAUAAGUAAUUCAUGUUUCUUGUAAUUAUUAGAACAAUUCAUCUUCGAAUGCUGUCAUUUUUGUAAUAAUAAAAAAAGGCGAGAACUUGCAGAAAAUAUGAGAAACAUGCUCAUAUGACAGCUGAGGAUGUGGCUAGACUAAAGCAGGAAACUACUACCCACAAUGCAAUGUUACAUACACUACCACUUAAUAAAAUUUAUAUCAAACAUGCUACUGACAAAACCAAAGAAAAAUAAUAUCCCAGCUAUGCUAUUUAACGUAUCUAGGGAGAAGUGAAAGUAAGCUUUUUAGAACCUUUGUACUUAGAGAAUAUAGUAAAUGAAACUGCAGGACAUUAUUGUAUACAUUGGAGCACUGCUGUAACUUUGUGCUAUGGAACAUGGCUGUAGGAAAAACUGUCUUAUAAUGAGAAUCUUUUGUAUAUUAGCUUUCUUGGAAAAGGUACAAAAAGAAAAUCUCUCUUUGAAUUAAACUGUUUUAGUAUUAAAUAAGAUUAGAGAAUAUUCUCACUUAGAAAAAUAAGUUAAAUUAUGAGAUAUUCAUUGUCAUCUAAACUUUAAAUACAGCCAUGUAUAUUUCUUUACAAUUUGGUUUCCGAUGUCUUUUAUUGCCAAGUUGGGGGUGGGACUUGAAUUGUUCACUGAGGCAUAUUUCUUUUUGAGGUAAUUAUUUUUCUUGCUCUUCAUUUAUGUUAAUAGCUUACUCCAUCAGUCUAUGUGCUUUACUAUAGGGAGGUUAGUCUAAAGCAAAAAUGUGAACCACUUUUAUAAUGUGGUUGAAGAACAUGUUAAGGCAUCUUCUAAAAAAUCGUGUUUUACUAUAUUUAAGGUUUCCGUUUAUAAAUCUUAAUCUCCUGUGCCCUUCGCUGUCAGACUUCAGGAAUUUUGAUGAAUUUAGUAACUUAAUAAUUUAGAUGAAUUUCAAAGUUUUAUAAAGAAGGUUGUUUAAGGUUAAAUAAGGGAACAUAAUAGUUUUUGAACUGAUAACUAAUGUAUAGAAGUUUACUCAGAGGAAGAAUAGAAAAGAUGAUAAGUUAGUAUUACUUAUGAAGGAUUCCCCUCUGAGCAUUCCAAUAUACAAAUUGUCAGUGUUUUGUUUCACAGCCGACACAAUAAUUGUCAUCUCAUCGUUUAAUUGUGAAUAUCAUUGUAUGUCUGUCUGUAUCUCUAUUAAGGAUGAUUUGCUUAAUUGUUUGAAGUUUUUUCUCAUGUAGAAACUGCUUAUCAAUAACAGCUGUAGCACUGUGGCUUUUCUCCAUGGACUCAUGGUGGUCUUUGGAACAACGUUCUUCAACUUUGACAGUUUCAUGGGGAAAACAGAUUCUAUAGAAGUAAUUGGAAAAUCAGUUUUCUCCUACUAUUAUCACAAUAUCCUUCUAUUGUUGAAUGAUUUUGGCAGGUAAGUAGUAGGGAAAUUUGGUUCCUAUCGCUUUUCAAGAGAACAAGUUUAUGGAUAGAAGAGAGAAUGUAUUAUAUACAAAUAGAUUGUUUAGAGAAAGAUUUGAUGCUUGCCUGUCAGAAAUUAACAUGUAUGUGAACCUGAUUCUUGCUAGGUUGAAAGUAGAGCUACAUAGGUCACUUUUAGGAUAUUUGAGAAAACUUCGAAUAUGGACCGGAUAGCGAUGAUACUAUGGAAUAUGUAUUAAGUUAGGUGUGAUCAUGCUAUCGUGUUUUUAUAGGAAAGUAUCCAUAGUCUUAAAAGAGAUAUGAGCUGAAUUAAUAAAAUUAUUUAAUACAUUCAUAACAUAAAUACAUUUGUAAAAUAAAUGUGUCAAAAUGUUAGUUGGUGAAUAUAAAUAAAGGAUACAUAGGCAUUUGUUUCACUAUUUUUCAGCUUAAACGGUGAAUUCUGAAAGGUAAACCAUUUUAUGUUUAAGGGGUACAGAAAUUUGACUUCAAGUGGAAAUCAAAUAGUUGAGGAAAAGUCACUCAUGUAUAAAUAGUAAAUUAAAAAAUGAGUGAAUGUGAAUAGCUUGGUCUAUACAGAGCAAUUUUUAGAUUUUAGUUUAUAGUUUUAUUCUUUAUAUUUUAUUCACAGUAAAAAAAUGACUAGUUUUCACAGUUUAUAUAUGGCAAAUAUAAAUUGAAGAUGGUAAAAUAUUUUUGAAAAUCUUAACUUUAAGAAUUGUAAAGUGGUAUUAUGGUAAGUCAAGGCAGAAAUUUUUAGAGGAUCAAAACAGCAUCUGUUAUUGUUAUGUCAUUUGUGUAUUUUUAGCUGUAUGCUUCUGGAGUAUAAAUAAAUGCUUUAAGUUUAUUUACAUUAAAUACUAAUAUACUGUACUACUGUUACUAAAUUAUUCAUACUAAUACUACUAAAUUGUUUAUACUACUACAUUACACUUUUCAAGCAAUAUUUUAGUGAUCAGAAAACUACAUCUCUAUGUACGAAGUAUUAAUUUUGAAUUUGUGUUAUACUAGCUGAUGCCCUACCAGAAAUUGACAUACUAUUUCUAAAGGGCCAAGUAACAAAUAUUUUUGGCUUUGUGGGCCAUAGGAUUUCUGUUAACUACCCAACUCUGCCAUUGCAUUCUGAAAGCAGAUGAUAAGUAAACAAAUAGGUAUGGCUGAAUUCCAGUAAAACUUUAUUUACAAAAACAGGAAGUUGUGGCUGGGCAUGGUGGUUCACACCUAUAACCCCAGCAUUCUGGGAGGCUGAGGUGGGAGGCUCACUUGGUCCUAGUAGUUUGAGACCAGCAUGGGUAACAUGAUGAGAUCCUGUGUCUAC